AUACGUAGGUGACAAGCGUUAUCCGGAUUUACUGGGCGUAAAGGGCGUGUAGGCGGUCUUGCAAGUCAGAAGUGAAAUUCCUGAGCUCAACUCGGGCGCUGCUUCUGAAACUGCAGGACUUGAGUGCUGGAGGGGAUAGCGGAAUUCCUAGUGGAGCGGUAAAAUGCGCAGAUAUUAGGAGGAACACCGGUGGCGAAGGCGGCUAUCUGGACAGUAACGGACACUGAGGCGCGAAAGCGUGGGGAGCAAACAGGAUUAGAUCCCCUGGUAUUCCACGCCGUAAACGAUGAAUACUAGGUGUAGGGGGUAUCGACUCCCUCUGUGCCGCAGUUAACACAAUAAGUAUUCCGCCUGGGGAGUACGGCCGCAAGGUUGAAACUCAAAUGAAUUGACGGGG
rnacentral:rRNA from 1 species